rnacentral:rRNA from 1 species
AACGAACGCUGGCGGCAGGCCUAACACAUGCAAGUCGAGCGAGACCUUCGGGUCUAGCGGCGGACGGGUGAGUAACGCGUGGGAACGUGCCCUUUUCUACGGAAUAGCCUCGGGAAACUGAGCGUAAUACCGUAUACGCCCUUUGGGGGAAAGAUUUAUCGGAGAAGGAUCGGCCCGCGUUGGAUUAGGUAGUUGGUGGGGUAAUGGCCUACCAAGCCUACGAUCCAUAGCUGGUUUGAGAGGAUGAUCAGCCACACUGGGACUGAGACACGGCCCAGACUCCUACGGGAGGCAGCAGUGGGGAAUCUUAGACAAUGGGGGCAACCCUGAUCUAGCCAUGCCGCGUGAGUGAUGAAGGCCUUAGGGUUGUAAAGCUCUUUCAGCUGGGAAGAUAAUGACGGUACCGGCAGAAGAAGCCCCGGCUAACUCCGUG